GGGGAAGCCGGCCAGCUGCUAGAGGACGAGGGGGAAAUUACAAACAAAAUCAUGGGACAGCUAUUUAAUAUCAGGCUCAUGGGCAAGCUGCCCGACGCCCUGAAGGAGCUGUGCUCCGUGGGGCAGGAUUGAAGGCCCCCCCCCCUCGCAUGACCAGCUCGGACCCCCUGCCGCAGCCUUGCUCCAGGCCCUCCACCCACCCGCUGCACAGCAUUGCCUCCUCCUCCUCCUGAUCUUCCCCAACACCUUCAGUUUCAACUACAUGGCUUCGACCUCUGCAUGGAUAUGGACAUUGGUUCAUACUUCUGCCCACCCGGCUUCGACCUCCGGCCUGGACAUUGACACUGGCUCCGGUUCUGCCUGCACAUACUCAACACCUGGCAGCAGUAGACAGGCCCCAUGUAGUGAGGCGGCCUGGCUCCCAGGCGCACCUGAGAGGGAUAAGCCAGAUCAGCUGCCUCAGUGGGCGGAGCCACCGCCGCCUGUCCCCGCCCCCCGGAAGUCAAGGGGCGGGACAGGAAGUACAAAAGCCCGGGCCCAGCGCUCAGUUGGAGCCCGACCGCGGGAGGAGACAGACGCUGGUGCCCGAGCUCCAGCCGAACCAAGCCUGCCCCAAGCCCGGUACCCAGAGGACACCUGGUCGAACCUGCCCCUAGCCCGGUACCCAGAGGAGGACUGGCCGAGCCUGCCCCGAACCCGGUACCCCGAGGAGGAGUCGAGCCCACCGGUACACCCCUCUCCUGAGGAGCCGAUGCUGGUAGGCCCCCCGGCUGAAGCCGCAACGACACAGGCACCAGUGGAGGGGGAGAGUGGAAGUGGCCCGGGGAUAGCCGACCCCAGUCUGGCUGCCGCUGACCCUGAGCCUAUGUCAGUGUGUUGAGGCCAGGAUCCCCACUGACUGCAGCGGAUCCCCGCAGCUGCUAGGGCCCCGGGCUGGGACACAGUGGAGUGGGUGGGCCUGUGUCCCCCCUGCCACCCCACUCAUGGGUGGCAGUCUCCCCCUCAACCCCACCGCUUGGGCUUAGGAGCCUGGACUUACCUGAACUGCUGCUCAGCCCUGCCUGAGGGUCUGAGCCCUGUACCUGUUGCUGCCCC